rnacentral:rRNA from 1 species
AUUGAACGCUGGCGGCAUGCUUUACACAUGCAAGUCGAACGGCAGCGCGGGCUUCGGCCUGGCGGCGAGUGGCGAACGGGUGAGUAAUACAUCGGAACGUGCCCAGUAGUGGGGGAUAGCUCGGCGAAAGCCGGAUUAAUACCGCAUACGACCUGAGGGUGAAAGCGGGGGAUCUUCGGACCUCGCGCUAUUGGAGCGGCCGAUGGCAGAUUAGCUAGUUGGUGGGGUAAAGGCCUACCAAGGCGACGAUCUGUAGCUGGUCUGAGAGGACGACCAGCCACACUGGGACUGAGACACGGCCCAGACUCCUACGGGAGGCAGCAGUGGGGAAUUUUGGACAAUGGGCGAAAGCCUGAUCCAGCAAUGCCGCGUGUGUGAUGAAGGCCUUCGGGUUGUAAAGCACUUUUGGCGGGAACGAAAAGGACUGUGCCAUUACCACGGUUCGAUGACGGUACCCGCAGAAUAAGCACCGGCUAACUACGUG